rnacentral:rRNA from 1 species
AUGGUCACCUCGGGCCGGGCCGUAGUGAACAUUAAUGGCGAGGUUGGCCCAUACUUUCCCACAUUCUGUGGGGUGCGCGAGGGCGAUCCCUUCUCACCAUUUCUCUUCAACAUGGUUGUCGAUGCUCUGGCAGCCAUCUUAGAUAAAUCCAAGGCCGUGGGCCAUAUUAAGGGCAUAGUCCCGCAUCUUGCUGGGGGGAACGGGAUCUCCCUUCUCCAAUAUGCGGAUCACACCAUUAUCAUGGUGGAAGGCUCAGCGAGCGAUAUCACGAACCUGAAGUUCCUCCUGCUUUGCUUCCAGCGGAUGCCCUGCCUCAGGAUCAACUUCGACAAGAGUACGGUGAUGGUCUUGGGAUACUCCCAAGACGAACGACAGAGCAUCGCAGAUCGGAUUAAUUACCAGCUCGGAUGUUUCCCCAUGACGCGUCUAGGGAUCCCCAUUAGUGACUCGAGGCUCACGGUGGCAAAGCUGCGCUCGACUGUGGGGAAGCUUGAGCACCGCAUCGAGCCCUGGCAGGGCCGGUGGCUCUCGAAAGCGGCCCAGACAGUCCCCAUUAAUUCGUCCCUCUCCAGCCUGCUCUUAUUCAUCAUGAGCUUCUACAGCCUUCCUGAGACUCUACAUCAUGAGAUUGCCACAGUUCAGGGGCGUUUCUUCUAG